CUGGGGCCGCCGUCGGGCCUUCUCCCUCCAGGGGCCCAAGAGCCACUGGUACUCAGUGUCUGGGUGGGGGCAGGGGGGAUUUUUGUUCUCCCAGCACCUGCGGCUGUUGAGACCAGAGAAGCUGGUGGUCGACCACAGCCUGGGGUAUUAGUUCACCCCUAGCUUCUCCCCAGCGAGACCCCAGGGCCCUUGGGCACAGGGGAUUAAGCCUCUAUCUGCUUACGUGCAAGCGGAAGAAAUAGGCCCAGAGAGCAACAGUGGCGGGUCUGCAGUCACACAGCCAACUUGCGCUUGUGGCAGUGGCAAGGUUGGUGAGUAUCUGAGUCUUCAGGCCACGGCAUUUUCCGCUCGAGUGGAGCCUGGAAGCUGGUUCAGUGGGGCUGUCGACCACAGGUACCAACCCUGCCCUCCCCUACAGAGUAUGUGACGUAGGCACAGCCAAUGACUGCAUCCCAGUGCUUCGACCAGUCACAGGGUCAAGGGUGCAGUGGCUCACACCUGUAAUCCCAGCACUUUGGAGUCCCAAGCAGGCAGAUCGCCUGAAGUCGGGAGUUUGAGACCAGCCUGGGUGAAACCCCAUCUCUAAUAAAAGUACA
rnacentral:lncRNA from 1 species